rnacentral:rRNA from 1 species
GACGAACGCUGGCGGCGUGCUUAACACAUGCAAGUCGAACGGAAAGGCCCUGCUUUUGUGGGGUGCUCGAGUGGCGAACGGGUGAGUAACACGUGAGUAACCUGCCCUUGACUUUGGGAUAACUUCAGGAAACUGGGGCUAAUACCGGAUAGGAGCUCCUGCUGCAUGGUGGGGGUUGGAAAGUUUCGGCGAUUGGGGAUGGACUCGCGGCUUAUCAGCUUGUUGGUGGGGUAGUGGCUUACCAAGGCUUUGACGGGUAGCCGGCCUGAGGGGGUGACCGGCCAAAUUGGGACUAGGAACCGCCCCAGCCCCCUAGGGGGGGCAGAGGGGGGGAAUAUUGCACAAUGGGCGGAAGCCUGAUGCAGCAACGCCGGGGGCGGGAUGACGGCCUUCGGGUUGUAAACCGCUUUCGCCUGUGACGAAGCGUGAGUGACGGGAAUGGGAAAAGAAGCCCCGGCGAACUACGU